rnacentral:lncRNA from 10 species
AACUCCUGGUCUCAAGCUACCUUCCCACCUCAGGAACAGGGAUUACAGAGUAACCACAAAAAAACAUGGAGCAUAAAGGUCAGUGGGAACAGGAACCAGGAAUGAAAUAAAGAGAACCAGAAAUGAUCAGAGCCGCAAACCAGCCAGAAAUAUAAUUUUGGGAUUUAAUGAUAUACCAAAACAAUGUGAGAGGCAAUCGUCUCUUUGGCAGAAGUUUCAUAACCCAGUACAGGAUUGCUCUACUUGCAAGAAGAAAUAUACUUUCUCCAUUUACCACUGAAGAUUUAUGGCCAAUGUGAUGUAUUUAGGUUGGUUUAAUUAUAACUAUUAUUCACUAUUCCAUAGGGGAUUUUACAAGUCUAGGCAUUUAGUGAUAGUACAUAUUUGUAUUAGUGAUGGCAGUCUUUUAAUUAACUCCUUAUUUUGAAUUCUAAUACAAAGAGUAGUCUUUUUUCUAAAGUCAUAGGAACACAAUUAGCAUAUUUAUUAACACUGAUCCCCUCUUAGCUUCUCUAAUAAUAUUUUGUACUAAUAGUUCUUGUAUUUCUAAUACAAAUCUGAAGCUUUUCAAAAUGAUAAUUUUAAUUGUAUUAAAAAGACUAAUAUCUCCCAG